CCGGGCUGCUGCUGCUGCUGCUCCCCACGUGUCCCCGGGCCGGCACUACCACCGCCGCCGCCGCCGCCGGUCCCCUCCCCUCGCUGAUGACUCAAUCUCAGGGUCCCCUGGCUACUCGGAAGGUUCGAGGUCUCCGGCGGCUCUGCUGUUUCCAAUGCGCAGCCCGGAUCAUUGAUCACAGAUCCCAUGAGUGAGACUAAUAACAGCCAAUAACACAGCACAGUUAUGCAAAGCCACCAGGUACAAUGGAUGGUCCCCAUUUCCAAACUGUGAAGUGAGUGUGCUGUAUAAACCAGCUGAGGACAGGGUAGAAAACAUAAAGGGCCAAGAAAGGAGGUCCAACGUCUUUUCUGUGUCUAAAGCUAAAACCUCAGAGAGGAGUUUGUUUACAUUGAUAUAAUGGAUGAAAUCUACAUUGUCUGAGGCAUGACACGUACCCGGGCUGUUCUCCGGAAUUCCCUUUGACAGACACGUACCCGGGCUGUUCUCCGGAAUUCCCUUUGACAGAUUUGCAGACAGCUUCCAGGGACCAACUGGGCACAGGACAGGGAGUGCAGGAACUGGUCCAGCGAUCGGAGGAUGCAGCAUCUGGGCAUUAAUGUCAGUGAAGCACCGGAACAGAUGAGCAGACAACCAUGAAUGCAUAUUAAUUGUAUACUGCGGGUAUCAGAAGCACACAUACCUGCAGUAAUCCAAAAUUGGUCGCGAGGACCGCUUAAUUUUUUAAGUGGAAAACCUCACUGCCAAUUGGAUAUAUCCCAAAGUGGUAGGUGACACAAGCUCAUAAAACGGGACUGCUGAAUUCACAGUUUGUAACGCGUAAACAUUGUAGGUCCUCAGUUACAGUCCUCACUACAAAGUUCCAAACUGCCUCUGAUAGAAAAGUGAGCACAAUAGGUGUUCACUGGGAUCUUGAGUUUCCAUGGCCCAGCAGCCAUUCAAGUGCUUCAGGCCUCUCUACACAAGUCAAACAUUGACUUGAGUGAUAUAAAGCACACAGCUAUUGGCUACUGGAUCAGUGAAAACACAUUCUCUGGAGUGAUUAAUCGCUCUUUAUCAUCUGGCAGUCUGAUGGACAAAUCUCUGUUUGGUGGAUGCCAGGACAACACUCCCUACCAAUAGAUGCCUACCAUCCCUCAUUCUGCAGGAGACUCCCUGAAAUAGCAGCAAUCUCACUCACUCCCUGAAUAAUCCUGCAAUCUCCCUGAUUAUACCUUACCCCCAUUAUGUAGCUGUUACAUUCUUGG